GGAAUUGGCCACCAUAAUUGGUUCUACCCAAUUGGAAAACUGUUUGGGAACCCAAGGCAGCUUGUUCAAGAGAAGGGGUUUCCAGAACUCCUCGUGAUUGGUGCUUUUUAGAUCAUUACCUCCUGGAAGUCAGAGUGCGGAUACAUUUCUAGCACUGAAAGACGUGGGACGACAUCAUAUUGCAGGUAUACUACUAAUGCUGGAAAUUGUUAUUGGUUUUUUUUUCUUGCAGUACUAUUAAUACUUGUAGUUUAGCCGUAGUAAGUUAUCUUGUUCUAAAGGAUCAGCACAAGGGAAAAUUUCUGGUCUAACAAACAUAUCAUCACAUCCUAGUUGCAUCAUUAACGCAGCAUCUGUUGGAGUCACAAUGCCUCCAGUAGCAGCAUGCACAACAGGAAACCUUCCCCAUUUGCCUAGUCUGGGCUUACUAUGCAUUAGAAUCUCCAAUUUCCUUGAAAAGUGUGAAAAACUUUAUCUUCAUCCAUAUCGAUAAAAAUUAAAACCUAUGUUACUUGAACUCAUCUCCGUCCUAUUUUUGGACAUGGGCAUCGGGAAUGGUAACGAUGCACUAAUAAACAAGUAGGGUAAAAAUUAUUCAUUAAAAUCAUAUAACCAAAAAACUCACAUCUAACAUGUAUUAUGAGAGACUUUGCGAUUUAGGUGUUUUAAGGUUUUCUCAUCCCAUCUUCUCAUCCUUCUCUUUUGCAUCCUAAUUAGCACUUAGCAGCAAUGUCGAUGCUGUUGUUUUAUGCAGUUAUGGAUUAAAGUGUGAUAAUUUUUGUAAAUACAAGCCUGAUUAUUUCCCUAUUAUAUGUGAAGUUAUUAUAACAAAUGCUUUCAAAUUAAAAACCAUAUAGUUUUCUGGUUAAAAAAUGAUUUACAUUUAUAAAUAUAUCAUCUGAGCCUAGAGAACAGAGGGAAGUUAUUUUUAUUAUAGGUUAAAGUGACUAGUGUUCACCAAAUCUGGUAGAUGAAGAAUGAAAAUAUAGACUUUGCAGACUUGUAAUCUAGUACAAUUGAUGGAAUUGUGAUACUUUCGAUGAAUUUACACUUGUUAAUCAGGAUUAGUCUGUCAUGUGUAUGUCAGUAUGUGGCUGUUUAGGUUUGCUUAUUUGGAAAAGACAAGCACAAUUCUCCCGCAUAAAAAGUACCUAGUUGUGUUGUGUACAUGUGCCUGUUAGGUUUAGCUUAAUUUGAUAAAAUUUGCACUUGUCUUUUAUCAAAUUAAUAUAUUUUUGACUAUUUUUUUUUACUCCAAAUUCAUUUGUUUUGAUAAAUAAAUUUUAUAAUGGAGUAUCAAUCAUCAGGUGUAGAAUAUCUUAUUGGUAUCAUAGUAUGUAAGCAAUUAAAAAGUGCUUCUACUUAUUUACACAAACGGUUCAAGAAAAGCAGAAGCCAGAAGCAACUCCGACUUCUGCUAACCAAACAGGCACAUAGUAAAGUUCUGUUAAGACCACUUUUUAUCGGAGACCUCGGAGAACAUGCAUGUUUUGCAAAUAAAACAUUGCAAAACUUAUAAUUUUGCAAAUCAUAUUCAAUGAAAAUCAUUUUUUAAUUAAAAAUCUUGAAAAAUCAUACUCCUUCAGUUCCACCCAAAUGAUUAUAUUUGGGUGGGGCAUAGAGAUUAAGAAAAUAUGUAAAGUAAGAGUAUGAAAGAAAGAAAAGUGAGGAUAGUGAUGAAACCAUUUGAUAUUUAAUACAUAAAGUAAGGAUAGUGGUGAAAAGUAGUGGGGGUAGUUGAUUUUUAUAUUAUAAAAUUUUACUAUACUUAAUAAAUUUUGAAAUAUAGAAUGGAUGGGACAUCCCAAAAAGGAAAGUGUAAAUAAAUGGUUGAGACGGAGGGAGUAUAUGUAUUGCGAGGAAGACAUUGCAAGACUGGACAUUGCAAAACAUAGGUUGUGCAAAAGAAUGUCUGGCUUGCAAAACGUACAUUAUUUUUUGGAUUUUCAAUGAAAUAGCACUAUUCAAAUAACAUACUUUAUAAAAUAUAAUGUUGUUAAUGUUUUGGUGCAGAACAUGCAUCGUUUCCGAGGAUUCUGAUAAAAAGUGAUUUUGGAGGUCUCCGAUAAAAAGUGGUCUUCAUAGAACUUUACUCUCUAUAUCACAAACCUCCUUAAAAUACAAUAUAAAAACUAAAAAAAAUCUUAAAAUUAUAUUUAAAUAUAGCAAAAAUUGUAUUUAAAUCGUUAGGAGAUGUAGAAUAAUUAUAGUGAAGUCAGAUUGACAUGAAAAUUCAAAUUAAAAAUGGAGGGGAUUAUGUGGGAUCAUGUGUGGGAGGAUGAAUUUUAAUUGUGUGUGGUGACUUCUAGAAGGCUUGUAGUUUGUACAGUAAUUUGGUUAACUACACAACUAAAAACCUUCUUAAAAUAAAAACUAAAAUAAAAAAAAUUCUGAAUCACAUCGAAAUAGCACAUAUGAUAUGCAACUGAAAGUUGGGAGAUGAAUAAAAAUACCAUUAAGUCAGAUUUCUAAAAAACUCACCGUUGACGAGAAAAAUCAAAAUAGAAACGGAUGAGAUUAUGUGGGUUAUGUGUGGGAGAGCGUAUUUUAAUUGUGUGGAGCGUAUUUUAAUUGUGUGGUGACUUCUAGGGGCCAUUAGAUUAGAUUCGUCCAAGGGCUUGGAUUAAAUUUAUUUAAAGGCUUAGAAUAAGUUUGUACAAUAAUUUGGUUUGUAUUUGAGCAAUUGCUUAUAUAUAUAUAUUUGGUUUUUAAUGUUCUUGGUCACCAAGAGGACUGAAAUUCAGAAAGAAAAAAAAAACGAACUGGGCCUGAAUUGUGAAAGCCCUGAACCAGGACCGAAAUUUGGGUUCGCUUCUCGGUGAAUUGGGAAAUUCUAAUAUGGUCAAUUGAUGGAAUGAUUAUUCUUCUGUUUCCGAACAGGAUUUUUUUAUCGAUACAACCCUUCUGUUUCAACAACUCCCCAAGUUGUGAUCCCCCCGCCCCGCCCCUCCCCUCCCCUCCAAAAGGUGAUUUUAGUAAUUACCAAGUAUAAGUUAUUGUCCAGCAGUAUCUCGACCCAAUAUUAGGCAUCUUGCCCGGUGGAAAAGCUACAUCUAGUUCCGAACCAGCGAUUUGGUUGAUAUCCAGUGUUGUUUUUCAAGCGUGGAAGUCACCUAAUUAGAAGUUGUCAAAAUUUUAUAGCGAUCAGAGCUAACCACAAGGUAUUCUUUUCUCUCAGAUUUGCAAUUACAUAUGAAUUUGUUUAAAUUGUAAUGAUCCUCUCAUUUUUAGGAAGUAAGGGUAAAAUUGAAAUUACAUUUUCGAAUUUAGUGGUUUCAACGAGACCCUGCUGUCUACUAGCCAUCAAUUCUUCUGGGCAUAUCCCCUUGUACUCAAAUCUUGUGAGUGAUCCACAUUUUAUACGGGUAUACUUUGUUUAAGAUACAAUUUAACUGCAAAUUUUACUUAUGUAUCAAGUUCGGAGUUCGGUGCAUUUAAUAGUUUUAAUUUAGUGUCUACUAUCUACCUUAUGUGAUUCUGAUAUGUAUGUAUGAUACUUGCACAAAAUUUUCUUCAAAUUUGGUAUUCUAUCUUGAUGAGCUUUUGCCUAUGCAAGUUACAAGUAUCAUUGUUUUACGCAAAUUAAGCUAUUAAUACUUUCUAAUCGAUAGCUUCAGGAUCACAAAUCUCUUAGAUUUUAGUACCUUCAAAAGGAAACUUUUUCUCUGGGGUUAAGCAUCAAUCUCAUGAUUAAUUACGUCCAAAUAUAUGAGAUUGGUCACCAUUUGCAAACAUUACCUAAUAUAAUCCUUAACUUCUUUUAUUUGUACAAGUCGUUUAAGUCGACUGGAAUUAAAAUUUUGAAGGAUUGAACAAAUCUACAAGUUUCAAGCUCGACCUCUCAAAUCCGUAUCUUACAGAUCUAGAGGAAAAAGUCUAUGUUUCUCCACCACAUCUUAUCUCAUUUUCAAGCAGUUCAACACAUGCCUCUGAUUUACAUAUCCAUAUGUUAGGGUUUACAUCUGAUAAGUGCAGUUUAAUUCAGUUAUUUGUGGUUGUAGUUGUUUAGGUUUCUAGUGCCUAUGUUAUUUAUAUAUAUUCUAGAAAUUGUUGUAGGUGUAUUACUUUUUGCAGUUGAAAGGAUGGAGAUGACGAAGUGUGUGUGUGUGUGUGUGUUUUAUUAUUUUUUUCUUUUUGCAAUCGAAGCCAUGUAAUUGCUACGUCAUUAUGUGACUUUUAAAUCACUGCCGUGUCAGUCGCCUGACAUGUUGGUUUGGGCAUUGAAAAUUCAACUGACUCUUGACCGGUUUGUGCAAAUUAAAGAAGUCGGUGACUGGACUGAGUCAUAUUUGUGAAAAGUGAUGAAAUUGGUAGAAUCGUAUGAAAUGAAUACCAGAUAACUCAGGGUAUUAUUAUGGGUAGGGGGUGUGAUUAUUGAUUGCCAUGACCAUUAUUCAUGAGGGAGGAGAUAUGAGUCUUGCCACUAGGCAAUCAACAAAACCUUGAAUAUGCAAUUUUUUUAGUCCAACUAAUUUCAAAAACCCAGUCAUGUUAUAUGCUGAUAUCAUUACUCUCUCAACCUUCAGUGCGGUGAUUGUUGCUUGAAAUUCACUUGGUUUCUUUAAUUGACUUGUACUCUGCUAUGUUAUGUUCUGUAAUAAUUUAUAAUUUUACUUAAAGAUACAGCUUCAACUGCAGAACUAAUUAUGACAUUAUAGUAUUAGCAACAAGCCUUUUGUUUGAUUGGCAGUUAUUUGGGGUAAGUGCAUGAUUAGGUUGCCAUGUCUUGUUACAGGUUAUUAGGGUACUUAAGAUGGAUCCUGAAAUAAAUCUGCAAGAUCUUCACCCAAAAAAGAGAUGGAGGAGUGAGUUGUAUGCUCAAUUUGUUCUUGCCUGGCAGAACAAUAAUCAGUUACCUGCUGAAGGCACUCCAGAAAAAAAUGUUAAUAGCUUGGAUGACAAUCAUCAGCUGGCUGUUUAUACUCCUGCUGACGCUUCUGCUUCUGAUGGAACUGUUACUCAACCUCCACAGAACCAGGCCGGUCGGAUUGCGCCAUCUGUGGAAGCUUACACUGUCCAGUGUUCACUCUGUUAUAAGUGGAGGCUUAUUCCUUCGAAGGAGAAAUUCGAGGAAAUCCGUGAACACUUAAUAGAGCAGCCUUUUGUAUGCAGAGCACUUUAUCAGUGGCGUCCUCAGAUAUCUUGCACUGUUAAAACUGAUCUUCAACCAGAUGGUAGCAAGUUAUGGGCAAUUGAAACGCCCAACAUUCCUCGACCCCCUCCUAGGUGGAAGCGCAUUUUGAAGAUCAGGGCUUCCCAAGGAACCAGAUUUGCAGAUGUGUACGUAUUACUCUACAUUUUUUUUUUAAAUAUGGUUUAGUCUUAAUAUCUGCUGCUUCGUUUCAGUUUAAAAGUUGAGCUUUUCUUUACUUUCAGGUAUUAUUAUACACCAUCGAACAAGAGACUGCGGUCCACAACUGAAGUUCAAAGGUACUCUUGUCUCUUAGGUUUGUUUUCAGUUGAGCAGAGCGUUCAAAAACUUGCAAAUCUUUAUGUUUGGUUUAAAUGAUAAUAUUGAUGAAGUGGUCCAAAAAUUAUAGAGUAAAGUGACAUAAGGUCCUUCUACCAUAAAACAUGGCCGGCGCACCAACUUGACCUCUUCUCUGUAGUGUUUUCGAUAUUUUUCAAACAUUAUUUAGAUUCUGUUUGUAUUUGGGCAUAUUUUUAAGAAUGUAAAUGUUUGCUCUAUAUUAACCUAUCGUCAUGCAAAUUUCGCAAACUAUUGUUAUGCCAAUGGGCGCUCAGAUAUAGAUGGUUUGCUUCCCUUCAUGUUAUAGUACAAUAUGUUUAAACAGUUGAACAACGUUGUGUUCUUGGCUUGAGUCCAGCACUGACAGUGCCUAUUUGCAAUAUUCCAUAUGGGAUUACCAUUCACAGGUAUUUGCGUGAACAUCCCAAUGAGGCGGAUGGAGUUGACUUGGGCCAAUUUUCUUUUAAAAUCCCACUGUUGGUGAAGGAGAAGUCCUUGGAAGAACAUACCACCCGUGUUUUACAAGACGGUCGCAAACGCCGCAGGAUGCCUUGAAAUGGAGGAAGAAAGGAGUGAUCUGUAUCCAAUCUGGAUAUGAAUAUUGAAAUGGGCUACAUAGAGUUGGUACUUUAGUCGUGUGACAUUUGAGUGAUUGUUGAAGACUUGGCAACUGCUUUUGAUGUAAUGACAUGUAAACUGUUAGUCUCCUUGUGAAUUCAAGAGUAGAGCCAUUUUCAUUUUAUCCAAUCGACUUUCUAGUUAGUAAUUACUAUAAUUUUGUAUAAUAGAAUAUACAGAUAUAAAACCAUUUCUUUACAUAAAAUGCUAUGGGCGUCAUGUGUUUUGUGAGAGGAGUUGUUGGGGCUUGUUUCAUAUUUACCAUGACAUUUCAGCCCAAUUUUAAGAGACUUUAUUGGUGGGUUUGGUUUAACAAAUGAUGAGUAUCAGUAUUGGUUUGCUCCCUUGUGUAUUAGACCAUAUAUAUGGUGCAUUUUGCAUAGGUCAAAAGUCAAGUUUAGCUUUUUUCUCAAAAGGCUGGCUGGCAUGAAGCUUGAUCUUAGUGAAAGUAUGAUCAAGCAGCUUACCCUUCUCGGAAUUGGCCACCAUAAUUGGUUCUACCCAAUUGGAAAACUGUUUGGGAACCCAAGGCAGCUUGUUCAAGAGAAGGGGUUUCCAGAACUCCUCGUGAUUGGUGCUUUUUAGAUCAUUACCUCCUGGAAGUCAGAGUGCGGAUACAUUUCUAGCACUGAAAGACGUGGGACGACAUCAUAUUGCAGGUAUACUACUAAUGCUGGAAAUUGUUAUUGGUUUUUUUU
rnacentral:lncRNA from 1 species